CAUAGCCUAUAACUUAACUUUAGGUACAACCCUGCCCUCUGAAAUUUUAACAGCCGCGGUAUCCUAACCGUGCUAAGGUAGCAUAAUCAUUUGCCUAUUAAUUAUAGGCUAGCAUGAACGGGAUCACUCACUUAAAUUUAUUUUCACUACAAUUAAAAUUAAACUUUAAGUUAAAAUACUAAAUUUUUAAGAAAGACAAAAAGACCCUGAAAACUAUUAGAAGAUAAUUAGUUGGGGCAACUAUAGACCAUAAACAGCGUCUAUUAAAAUUCGAAUUUUAAAAUUCAAAGCACACAAGUUACUUCAGGGAUAACAGACUAAUUGUAUUAUUUAGACCUAAUAAAUAAUAAAGAUUGGCACCUCGAUGUUGGCUUAUAAUUCCUUCAUAUAGUAACAUAUAUUGAUGGCAGCUUGUUCAUCUGAUAAAUAUUUACAUGAGCUGAGUU
rnacentral:rRNA from 1 species